ACGCUGUCUUUGAGGCCCUGCUGCCCCUGCGCAUGACACCAGGGUCAGGCUGCAGGGCCAGAGCACAUGCUUGUGCAUAACUGGGACCUAACUCUCCACACCCUGCCCCUUUUAACCCUUAGCCACAUGG